UACGUAGGGAGCGAGCGUUGUUCGGAGUUACUGGGCGUAAAGAGUGCGUAGGCGGUUUUCUAAGUUUGGGGUGAAAUCUCCCGGCUUAACUGGGGGGGUGCGCCGAAGACUGGAAGGCUUGAGUAUGGGAGAGGUAAGCGGAAUUCCUGGUGUAGCGGUGAAAUGCGUAGAUAUCAGGAGGAACACCUGCGGUGUAGGCGGCUUACUGGACCAUCACUGACGCUGAGGCACGAAAGCGUGGGUAGCAAACAGG
rnacentral:rRNA from 1 species